GGACAGGAAAAUUUAUUUCCAAAGUUCCUUAUUUUUGGUUUUCUAUCAAUUUCAAUAUGAACAUACAUUUAGUAUGUUAUUAACAUUUAAGUAAGGAACCUGUUAUUCAGUGGUUGUCGUUUGUUUAUGUGUUACAUAUUUGUUUUUCGUUCAUUUUUAGGCCGCUAGAUAUAUAGUUUUCUCGUUUGCAUUGUUUUACAUUGUCAUUUCGGG
rnacentral:lncRNA from 1 species